UACGAAGGGGGCUAGCGUUGCUCGGAUUUACUGGGCGUAAAGGGCGCGUAGGCGGACAGUUAAGUUGGGGGUGAGAGCCCGGGGCUCAACCUCGGAAUUGCCUUCAAUACUGGCUGUCUUGAGUGUGAGAGAGGUGUGUGGAACUCCGAGUGUAGAGGUGAAAUUCGUAGAUAUUCGGAAGAACACCAGUGGCGAAGGCGACACACUGGCUCACUACUGACGCUGAGGCGCGAAAGCGUGGGGAGCAAACAGG
rnacentral:rRNA from 1 species